UACGGAGGGUGCAAGCAUUAAUCGGAUUUAUUGGGCGUAAAGGGCGCGUAGGCGGGCCUGUAAGUCAGAUGUGAAAUCCCGAAGCUCAACUUCGGAAUAGCAUUUGAAACUGCAAGUCUAGAGGGUAGGCGGAGAAAAUAGAAUUCCACAAGUAGCGGUGAAAUGCGUAGAUAUGUGGAAGAAUACCAGUGGCGAAGGCGAUUUUCUAGCUUAUACCUGACGCUGAGGCGCGAAAGCAAGGGGAUCAAACAGG
rnacentral:rRNA from 1 species